AACGCGAAGAACCUUACCUGGGUUUGACAUGGAUCGGGAGUGCUCAGAGAUGGGUGUGCCUCUUUUGGGGUCGGUUCACAGGUGGUGCAUGGCUGUCGUCAGCUCGUGUCGUGAGAUGUUGGGUUAAGUCCCGCAACGAGCGCAACCCUUGUUCACUGUUGCCAGCACGUUAUGGUGGGGACUCAGUGGAGACCGCCGGGGUCAACUCGGAGGAAGGUGGGGAUGACGUCAAGUCAUCAUGCCCCUUAUGUCCAGGGCUUCACGCAUGCUACAAUGGCUGGUACAGAGAGUAGCGAGCCUGUGAGGGUGAGCGAAUCUCGGAAAGCCGGUCUCAGUUCGGAUUGGGGUCUGCAACUCGACCUCAUGAAGUCGGAGUCGCUAGUAAUCGCAGAUCAGCAACG
rnacentral:rRNA from 1 species